GGAUUAGAUACCCUGGUAGUCCACGCCGUAAACGAUGAUUACUAGCUGUUGGCGAUACACAGUCAGCGGCGUAGCGAAAGCGUUAAGUAAUCCACCUGGGGAGUACGGUCGCAAGAUUGAAACUCAAAGGAAUUGACGGGGGCCCGCACAAGCGGUGGAGCAUGUGGUUUAAUUCGAUGAUACGCGAGGAACCUUACCAGGGCUUAAAUGCAGAAUGACCUCCUGAGAAAUCAGGAUUUCUUCGGACAGUUUGCAAGGUGCUGCAUGGCUGUCGUCAGCUCGUGCCG
rnacentral:rRNA from 1 species